CCUACGGGAGGCAGCAGUGGGGAAUAUUGCGCAAUGGGCGAAAGCCUGACGCAGCGACGCCGCGUGAGGGAUGAAGGUCUUCGGAUCGUAAACCUCUGUCAGCAGGGAAGAACGGUCACUGUGCUAAUCAGCAGUGAAUUGACGGUACCUGCAAAGGAAGCACCGGCUAACUCCGUGCCAGCAGCCGCGGUAAUACGGAGGGUGCGAGCGUUAAUCGGAAUUACUGGGCGUAAAGCGCUCGUAGGCGGUAUGUCAAGUCAAGGGUGAAAUCCCCGCGCUCAACGUGGGAACUGCCUUUGAAACUGGCAAACUGGAGUGUGUGAGAGGAUAGUGGAAUUCCAGGGGUAGGAGUGAAAUGCGUAGAUAUCUGGAGGAACAUCAGUGGCGAAGGCGACUAUCUGGCACAUAACUGACGCUGAGGUGCGAAAGCGUGGGUAGCAAACAGGAUUAGAUACCCCUGUAGUC
rnacentral:rRNA from 1 species